rnacentral:rRNA from 1 species
GAGUGGCGGACGGGUGAGUAAUGUCUGGGGAUCUGCCCGAUAGAGGGGGAUAACCACUGGAAACGGUGGCUAAUACCGCAUAACGUCGCAAGACCAAAGAGGGGGACCUUCGGGCCUCUCACUAUCGGAUGAACCCAGAUGGGAUUAGCUAGUAGGCGGGGUAAUGGCCCACCUAGGCGACGAUCCCUAGCUGGUCUGAGAGGAUGACCAGCCACACUGGAACUGAGACACGGUCCAGACUCCUACGGGAGGCGGCAGUGGGGAAUAUUGCACAAUGGGCGCAAGCCUGAUGCAGCCAUGCCGCGUGUAUGAAGAAGGCCUUCGGGUUGUAAAGUACUUUCAGCGGGGAGGAAGGCGAUGUGGUUAAUAACCCCAUCGAUUGACGUUACCCGCAGAAGAAGCACCGGCUAACUCCGUGCCAGCAGCCGCGGUAAUACGGAGGGUGCAAGCGUUAAUCGGAAUUACUGGGCGUAAAGCGCACGCAGGCGGUCUGUUAAGUCAGAUGUGAAAUCCCCGGGCUUAACCUGGGAACUGCAUUUGAAACUGGCAGGCUUGAGUCUUGUAGAGGGGGGUAGAAUUCCAGGUGUAGCGGUGAAAUGCGUAGAGAUCUGGAGGAAUACCGGUGGCGAA